CAUCAAUUCAUACUGUAUCUAUACAAGACCAAAAAAAAAAAAAAGGAGAAGAAAGAAAGAAGGAGUGAUAAUGACUCUGCCCCCAGGUCCUGACGGAGUGGGCCCAUAAUUCCAGUGUAAUCAUGAGAAAAAUGUCUGAUCAAUCUCCAUUGAAGGACCUUCUACAAACUAUCGACCCAGGGCUCCUCAAACCUGUCAAGAUGACAUGAAUAAGGAAAGUCAGAGGAGCUGUCUCCACCAAGAGGAGCCUAAGGAGGCAUGGUGACCACAUGGGCACGACCACGUUGUACUGUGGAUGGGAUCCUGCUACAGAAAAAGGGCAUUAGAAACAGAAGCUCAGAGAGGGAGGUCACCUGCUGCAGGUCACACAGCUGGGAAGCAAUAGAACCAGGAGUCUAACCCAGAUACAUCUGAGUCCCAGGCUUGCUCUUUACCAUGACCUUUCUGUACUGGACAGAGCUGCUGGAUGCCUGACACUAGGGCUGUGGGUCGGACUGGGUCAAUCGAGACUGUCUCCCUCUUCUGGAAUCCUCUCUCCAGAUCUUCCCUCAGGCAGCUCCAGAUGGGCGUUCAGGUCUUGUUUUGUGUGUUUCCUGCUUGAUUUAAGGACUUCCAAUUCUGCUUUGCUGAGAACAAGAGAAAGAAAUAAGGUGACGAGAUGAAACUAAGUCAGAAUAGUGAGUGAGCAAGUAGUUGGUGAGCUGCGCUCACCAGAAGACCCAGAAGAAGUGACAAGAACAUCCGGGUGUGAGCCUGGGUGGGAUGGAGGGAAGAGGCCAAGAAGCCUCAAAAACAGUAAAUAUCCGCGGGCACUCAGUGUUCACGAAGUCUUCAAUUGCCCACCGCUAGUGACACCCAUUCUGGCCAAAUGUGUCUUGUGUCCAAGAUGCUGGGAUAGAAGCCACCACGCUCAGCUGGCUGAGCGGUCAGGCAGGACUUGGGCUUGGCAGAACUGGUGCCGCAGUUCUCUGAUGGAACAGCCACGAGGUGGCUCCGGGCAUCUUCCACCUGCUGAGCCUGCUUGCCCGACCUCAUUUCUGGUCUUUAUAACCAUUAGAGGAAUAGGCUGACAAGGCAGAGAGAGAGACACAUCGCAUAACCCAGGAUUCAUAUGGUGUAUUCCUGUGAGCCGCUGCUGCCUGUACUAAGUGCGUUUACCAACCCCAGCUCUUUCCUCUGGCUUCUCUUUGAAUGUUUUCAAGAUUUAAUAAACCAUGUGCU